UUGCCUCAGUAACGGCGAGUGAAGCGGCAACAGCUCAAAUUUGAAAUCUGGCUCCUUUCAGGCGUCCGAGUUGUAAUUUGUAGAGGAUGCUUCGGCUUACGCCCCGGUCUAAGUUCCUUGGAACAGGACGUCACAGAGGGUGAGAAUCCCGUUUGUGGCCGGCGGCUUCCGCCAUGUGAAGCUCCUUCGACGAGUCGAGUUGUUUGAGAAUGCAGCUCUAAAUGGGAGGUAUAUUUCUUCUAAAGCUAAAUACCGGCCAGAGACCGAUAGCGCACAAGUAGAGUGAUCGAAAGAUGAAAAGCACUUUGGAAAGAGAGUUAAAAAGUACGUGAAAUUGUUGAAAGGGAAGCGCUUGCGACCAGACUUGCCCGCGGAUGCUCAGCCGGUCCUUCGGCCGGUGCACUCUUCCGCGGUCAGGCCAGCAUCAGUUCGGGCGGUCGGAUAAAGGCCUCGGGAAUGUGGCUCCUCUCGGGGAGUGUUAUAGCCCUUGGUGCAAUACGGCCCGCCUGGACUGAGGCCCGCGCUUCGGCUAGGAUGCUGGCGUAAUGGUCGUAAGCGGCCCGUCUUGAAACACGGACCAAGGAGUCUAACAUCUAUGCGAGUGUUUGGGUGUCAAACCCGUGCGCGAAAUGAAAGUGAACGGAGGUGGGAACCCUCGGGUGCACCAUCGACCGAUCCUGAUGUCUUCGGAUGGAUUUGAGUAAGAGCAUAGCUGUUGGGACCCGAAAGAUGGUGAACUAUGCCUGAAUAGGGUGAAGCCAGAGGAAACUCUGGUGGAGGCUCGCAGCGGUUCUGACGUGCAAAUCGAUCGUCAAAUUUGGGUAUAGGGGCGAAAGUAAGUUGACACUCCUCAUGAUCACCUUCAUGUGACACAUGCUAACAGAUAUUU
rnacentral:rRNA from 1 species